rnacentral:lncRNA from 13 species
CAGAAGUAGAGAGCACACAAGGAUGAGACAUUGGAAGCCUUUGCAAGAAGGUGAUAUACUCAAUGUUGAUAUAACAGUCUAUCUUAAUGGCUAUCUCGGCGAUUGCUCAUGUUUCAAGUUGGCGAGGAAGCUAUUCAACUUCUGUAUAAAGUAAUGCAAGUUCUUUUUUACAGAGACGCAAGAUCUUUCCCAAAGUAUCAUCUUGCCAUUAUCACGAAAGAAAAAGAAGUUGAAAAACAAGGACCGCUAAUUUUGGACAGCUAUUAGGGACCUGCAAUUCUAUAAAAUUUUUGUUUUCUUAUUUAAAACAAUCUUAAUAAAAGUCUACAGUAAAGAUCCAUUUCUUUAAUUAAAUAAAUUGAAAGAAGUUUUCAA